rnacentral:rRNA from 1 species
AACGAACGCUGGCGGCAGGCUUAACACAUGCAAGUCGAACGCCCCGCAAGGGGAGUGGCAGACGGGUGAGUAACGCGUGGGAAUCUACCCAGAUCUUCGGAACAACUGAGGGAAACUUCAGCUAAUACCGGAUACGCUCUACGGGGGAAAGAUUUAUCGGUUCUGGAUGAGCCCGCGUGGGAUCAGCUAGUUGGUGAGGUAACGGCUCACCAAGGCGACGAUCCAUAGCUGGUCUGAGAGGAUGAUCAGCCACACUGGGACUGAGACACGGCCCAGACUCCUACGGGAGGCAGCAGUGGGGAAUAUUGGACAAUGGGCGAAAGCCUGAUCCAGCCAUGCCGCGUGAGUGAUGAAGGCCUUAGGGUUGUAAAGCUCUUUCAGUGGGGAAGAUAAUGACGGUACCCACAGAAGAAGCCCCGGCUAACUUCGUGCCAGCAGCCGCAGUAA